AGUGCUUCACUGGAAGCCACAGAGGCCACCACAACAUAAAAUCCGUGAAAUAUAACAAACAUGUACUGCUGGAUGGCAGCUCCUUCGCCCAAUAGCAGCUGAAUUAGCGCCCCCUAAAGCGUCCGUCAUCGUCCUUCAUCCAAUCGACGAGUGUUUGACAUCAACGGCGCUGUCCGUUCCUCUCUCCUGCUCAUCACUUCGGCUAUGCGGUGCUGACCAAGGUGUGUGUCGUGAAGGUUACACGGACGGACUGUCCGGUCUUGCAGGGACAGCAGCCACCUGCCCAUGUCACUCUGACUUUGUUGUGUCCACGUCUCCUGGAGGUUCCUGAGAGACCAGCAUGCAGCUCCUCGUCCUGCUCCUGCCUGCGUUCACCCUGACGCUGGCCUCCUCGUUUUCAUCUCCAUAUAGUGAGGUGCCAUACAUCUUUGGUGGUAA